rnacentral:rRNA from 1 species
GACGAACGCUGGCGGCGUGCCUAACACAUGCAAGUCGAGCGAGUGAAUCUCCUUCGGGAGUGAAGCUAGCGGCGGACGGGUGAGUAACACGUGGGCAACCUGCCUCAUAGAGGGGAAUAGCCUUCCGAAAGGAAGAUUAAUACCGCAUAAGAUUGUAGCUUCGCAUGAAGUAGCAAUUAAAGGAGCAAUCCGCUGUGAGAUGGGCCCGCGGCGCAUUAGCUAGUUGGUGAGGUAACGGCUCACCAAGGCGACGAUGCGUAGCCGACCUGAGAGGGUGAUCGGGCACAUUGGGACUGGGACACGGCCCAGACUCCUACGGGAGGCAGCAGUGGGGAAUAUUGCACAAUGGGGGAAACCCUGCUGCAGCAACGCCGCGUGAGUGAUGACGGCCUUCGGGUUGUAAAGCUCUGUCUUCAGGGACGAUAAUGACGGUACCUGAGGAGGAAGCCACGGCUAACUACGUGCCAGCCGCCGCCGUAACAC